rnacentral:rRNA from 1 species
AGAGUUUGAUCAUGGCUCAGAUUGAACGCUGGCGGCAGGCCUAACACAUGCAAGUCGAGCGGAAACGAGUUAUCUGAACCUUCGGGGAACGAUAACGGCGUCGAGCGGCGGACGGGUGAGUAAUGCCUAGGAAAUUGCCCUGAUGUGGGGGAUAACCAUUGGAAACGAUGGCUAAUACCGCAUAAUACCUACGGGUCAAAGAGGGGGACCUUCGGGCCUCUCGCGUCAGGAUAUGCCUAGGUGGGAUUAGCUAGUUGGUGAGGUAAUGGCUCACCAAGGCGACGAUCCCUAGCUGGUCUGAGAGGAUGAUCAGCCACACUGGAACUGAGACACGGUCCAGACUCCUACGGGAGGCAGCAGUGGGGAAUAUUGCACAAUGGGCGCAAGCCUGAUGCAGCCAUGCCGCGUGUGUGAAGAAGGCCUUCGGGUUGUAAAGCACUUUCAGUCGUGAGGAAGGUAGUGUAGUUAAUAGCUGCAUUAUUUGACGUUAGCGACAGAAGAAGCACCGGCUAACUCCGUGCCAGCAGCCGCGGUAAU